GGGACUUAGCUCCGGUGGUGGACUGUUGGCUUGGUACACACCGAGCCCUGGAGUCCAUCCUCAGCCUAGCAUAACCUGGGUGUGGGGAUAAGGGCCUGUAAUCGAAGCACUUGGGAGGUGGAGGCAGGAGGAUCAGAGUUCAAGGUCAUCCUCGGUUACAUAGGCCACUUCCCCCCCAACCCCUACUCCUCAAAGAAGAAAGACACAGAGUGGGUGUCACCUACAGAACUAAUUACCGACAUACACUCCUGCGGGCAGAGAAGCUGGCUGGGUAGACGGAUGGAAGCGAGAGCGCCGCUCUGAUGGAGAACUGAGAACAAAAACUGGCGGGGAUGCAACCUUGCCUCACGAGCAGACACAAGGAUAACGUCUAGGGAAGGUCUCCAUGUCCAGAUUCUGGAGCGUUUUGAUAUAAUUGCCCGCAACGAGCGCAAAGGACCGUGCGUGUACCUUUAUAAAUAAAUACCAGCCUGCGCAAGCGUAGACUGGAGCGCUGAAGGCUUGUUCAUCAUAGAGGCGCGAGGCUAGAUUGCCUCCGGUCCCUGCGGCGGACAUCUUGACUCCUGGCAGUCAGUUUGAAGACGUCUGGAAUCACCACUAAACGUGUGUGUACCUCCAAGAAUAAUGAACUUAAAAAUGCCUGUCCUGGGAGACUCAAAACGAAGCGAGCACGCGAGUCAAUGACGCACCUGUCCGGACAGGCUCUCGCGGCGAUGCCUACCUCCUUGCCCUUUUCCGAGAUGGCGGCC
rnacentral:lncRNA from 1 species